rnacentral:rRNA from 1 species
AGUGAACGCUGGCGGUAGGCCUAACACAUGCAAGUCGAACGGCAGCACAGUAAGAGCUUGCUCUUACGGGUGGCGAGUGGCGGACGGGUGAGGAAUACAUCGGAAUCUACUUUUUCGUGGGGGAUAACGGAGGGAAACUUACGCUAAUACCGCAUACGACCUACGGGUGAAAGCAGGGGAUCUUCGGACCUUGCGCGAUUCAAUGAGCCGAUGUCGGAUUAGCUAGUUGGCGGGGUAAAGGCCCACCAAGGCGACGAUCCGUAGCUGGUCUGAGAGGGUGAUCAGCCACACUGGAACUGAGACACGGUCCAGACUCCUACGGGAGGCAGCAGUGGGGAAUAUUGGACAAUGGGCGCAAGCCUGAUCCAGCCAUACCGCGUGGGUGAAGAAGGCCUUCGGGUUGUAAAGCCCUUUUGUUGGGAAAGAAAAGCAGCAGGUUAAUACCCCGCUGUUCUGACGGUACCCAAAGAAUAAGCACCGGCUAACUUCGUG